rnacentral:rRNA from 1 species
CCCUUAGAUGUCCUGGGCCGCACGCGCGCUACACUGAUGCAUUCAACGAGUUUUACCUUGGCCGAGAGGCCUGGGCAAUCUUUUAAACCUGCAUCGUGAUAGGGAUAGAUUAUUGCAAUUAUUAAUCUUGAACGAGGAAUUCCUAGUAAACGCAGAUCAUCAAUCUGCAUUGAUUACGUCCCUGCCCUUUGUACACACCGCCCGUCGCACCUACCGAUUGAAUGGUCCGGUGAAGCCUCGGGAUUGUGGCCAGUUCACUUUAUUGGGAGUUGGCUGCGAGAACUUGUCUAAACCUUAUCAUUUAGAGGAAGGUGAAGUCAUAACA